CUCGUGAGACUGCACGCGCUGAUGCAGCGGUGAUUUCUCUCUGGACGUUCUCACUGUUCUGGCCAGACAUCAAUUAUUAAUGAGAUCUGAGCCGGUAAUAAUAACAUAUGUUGGUUCAGCUUGUCAGUGUGAAUGAAACGUGUAUUUAUUUGUCCGUUCUCGCCGAAAAAACCAUCACCGUGUUCUGGAGCGCAGAGCAAUCGAUGUGAUGUUCAGCCCUUAGACAAAGAAAAUCUCACAAGCACUCAUAAACACUCAUUUUCAUCUCUAUAAUAUGUUCUUCUAAUUGUUUUUUGUUGAUUCGCCGCUGUGUUUUAAUGUAAAAGACUGUAGUUUCUGUAUGUACACUUUUUUUCCCUUCAAGUGUUCAGACGUCUCGCGCUGUCAGACAGGCUGCAGCAAAUAUUUCAUUUUAACAUGUUAACAGCUCACAAACAUCUGAAUUUAGCUCUUGGUGUGUUCUAAUUGGCGGAUUGUGUGCAAUCGCCGUAAUAUUUUAUUUUUAAAAGGUCUUAAACAAGAAUAAACUCGUUUGUUGUGAGCUCGUUGAGACAGCACGCGCUGUUCGGAGCGGUGACAUAUCUCUCGUCUAUCUCUCUGUUCUCUGUCGCCAGACAUCAAUUAUUAAUAAGCCCUGACCCGCUAAUAAUAAGAUAUGUUGGUUUAGCUUGUCAGUGUGAAUUAAAUGUAUUUAUUUAGUUGUAUUUUUAACCGAUUUAAAAGUGAAACUAAGCGAGACUCCUCCCUCUCAGUCCCGGGAAUUGCUCCUGUAGAGGCGCAUUUUCUCUCAGACAGAGAGACUGGCCUCAGAGUGAGAUCAGAUGACUGACAGUUUUUUAAUUUUCUGUUAUCCAUAGAGCAUUGAAAAGUCGUGAAACUAUGCAUAUUUGCUCAGAAUGACUUAUCCUCUAUAUAUAAAAAUUUUGAAGUGUUUGGAAGCUGCACUUUAAGAAAUAUAAGACAAUUUAUGUUUACUUUUUUACUGUUAUUUCAAUAAAUCACUACGGCAAAACCGUUCAAGCUAUCCAAAAUCCAUUCGCAAUUUAAGUUCCUCAAUGUUUUGGCAUCAUGUAGACAAAGUUUGGUGUGUAUACUGUAAUUCUCCUCUGAGCAGUAUGCAUUAAUUCACAGCUAUAUUUUUCCAAAAAUCCAUAUUCAAAUCAAUAUAACUGACUUCCUGUUCAUCGUAGCUGAUGACUGUGAAUUAGAAAGUUGUCCGUCUUGAUAAGAACAAUUCAUGUAUUGAGUUUGGUGUCUGUAGCUAAAACUAACCCCCUCACUUUUGACAAAAGGUGGCGCUAUAGAGUGGCUCCUCCACGCCCUUUCAUGAGCUUUUGCCAUUGUCUAGCUAUCAUUAAUACUGAUAUGUGUUCUGAGUUUUAUGUAAUUCUGAGCAUGUUAUCUGCCUCAAAAUCACCAGAACAGAAUAUUCAAGUUUGACACGUUGCCAUGGCAACACUAUAUUAGAUAUCAAUAUCCCCACAAGAGAUUUACAUCGGCAGUGUUUUGUCAUUAUUCUGAUGAAGUUUGAAGCAAAUCGAGUAAAAAUAAGAUGCUGAAUUCAAAGCAUUUUGAAAAUGACACACUUCCUGCUGCCAGUUGGUGGCGCUGUAACUUUGACUCCUAAUAGUCACAUAUAUGCGAUCGGC
ensembl:lncRNA